rnacentral:miRNA from 1 species
UUUUCUCUCGUAUCGUACACA